ACAUGCCUACCACAAAGUGUUAAUGCAUCAAAUCCCAUUAGAACUCCACAGUUAAGCGUGCUCAAGCUAGAUUAGCACUGGGAUGGGUGACUGCCCGGGAAGUCCUAGUGUUUUACAUGCC
rfam:Picea glauca, whole genome shotgun sequence.